rnacentral:ncRNA from 1 species
CACUCUGGAGAAUCCCGCUCAGGGCGGGUGCCGAAGGGGCAAAAUACAGCAAUGCUGUAUGAAUCUCUCAGGCAAAAGGACAGAGA